UACGUAGGGAGCAAGCGUUGUCCGGAAUCAUUGGGCGUAAAGCGCGCGUAGGUGGCCUCAUAAGUCCGCUGUGAAAGUCAAAAGGCUCAACCUUUGAAAGCCGGUGGAUACUGUGAGGCUAGAGUACGGAAGAGGCGAGUGGAAUUCCUGGUGUAGCGGUGGAAUGCGCAGAUAUCAGGAGGAACACCAAUAGCGAAGGCAGCUCGCUGGGACGUUACUGACACUGAGGCGCGAAAGCGUGGGG
rnacentral:rRNA from 1 species